rnacentral:lncRNA from 1 species
UUUUUAUUCACAUUUAUUUAUUUGUUUGUUUAUUUAUUUAUUUAUUAUUUAUUUAUUUAUUUUUGGUGCAGACGAGAAAUAUAACAGUAACAUUAUCUUUCCUUUGAGCACACAGGAGAAGACAAAGGACUAAUAUCCUCGUUUAGUUGAUAGCAGUUCUAGUCCUUACACGGGUUAAGAAGAUAAUGCCAAGUGUUACUUACUUACUACAGCAAGAAAUAUCAGUAGGACAGUUACAUUUGUCUUUUGGAAACCACUUUUACAAGACAUAGCAACAGUUUUCAAAAAGUCUUCAGACUUCAGAGAUCAUUGUGCGGAUUGAACUUCUAAGAAUACAGCUAUACAUGAAGAGACACCAGAACAAGUUAAUCUAGUAGUGAGUGUUCCCAGGAGUCUUCAUACUGCAACUGACAGAAAUUCAAAUGUUUGCACUUGUUCUCAAUGAUCAGUAAAAGGCAGGCUUGUAAACAUCAAUCCUGCCAGUGAGCUGACAGGGGGGACUAGGAUCGAGCGCAGUGGAAUGAGGAGUGCACACCAUUGAUCUCCCCAGGCAAGGCUCACUCAGACUUACAUCUGUUUACUAACAUCUACUGGUGGAGUUGAAAAUUAGAACAAACUAAGGAAUAUCCUCCAAGCGUCUCUUUUUAAAUCCCAACCCACUUGAUCCCUUCCCCCACCUCCUUGCACUGGAAUGUGCUUCAGGGACCCCUGCCCCCAACCCUGCUCCCUCCAUGUGUCAAUCAUCUCAGCAGACCUAGAAAAACUCACUCUGCAACAGGCUCUUCCCUCUAGUCCUCCUCUUAAAAUUCCCAGCCUCCAACGAAGGUAUCCAGACCUACGAGCUUUGGAGAAGCUUUCAACAAGGUCUUUCAAUCAGAAAGGGAAUGCCUGAGGGCUGCAGCGGCAGAAGCCACAACAGCGCUGUUGCAAAUUCAAUGGAGCAUGUCCUGCAAAUCCAGACCCCUCACAUCCCCACAUCCCUGAGAAGAGGCUUGGGGUCUCCCUCCCACAAUGCACUCUACAGCCUGCUUCCUUCUUUGUUAGGAUGGAAACAUGGAAGGACAUUCAAAACCUGACAGGUAAGGGCCAAGAUCAGGCAAACAACAAAGAUGUCGCACAUUGUUGCUCUCUGGUCAUUUCUACAGGCUGAGGCCCACAAAAGAACUGCUGUCCUUUAGAAACGUGGGCUAGGUGCAUUCAUUCACAGACUGCUCAGGGCAGGCACAGGGUCUGUCAUUGAGACUCUUCUUUCUCUUCUCUCAGAUUCCCAAACUAGAGCUUAAAGACACAGCACCUAGUAGAAUGGAGGGAAGAGUGGAGGUGGUCUCCCUUGCUAUGAGAAGGGUGGAAUAGUCAGGGCAGUGAGAGAUUUGGAGUCUACUUUACAGUACCUUUCCCAGCCUGCAUACAACCAAGGGGAGAGCAAAUAAAAAGCCUGCUGUCUUUUGUUUUUUCUGUCUCUGGGCUGUAACUGCCUUAAAAAGAAAAGGGGUUGGGGGGAGGUGAAAAGAGAAGAGCCAAAGAGAAAAAGGUAUAGCAAGGCCUGUGGGCCACAAACAAUUUCUAACUACCCAAACCUAGGCAACUUUGACUUAACCAGAGUGGGUGUGAACACAGGAAGAGGAGUAGUUACCUAUCAAAGGUGCCUGGAUAAGGAAUAAUUUGUUGGUUAGGGCUCAGAACUAACCACUGGAAGGGAGCCACUUCAGCUUUGCUUUGGGCACUGCCACGUGAGACUACAGAUCCUGCCCAGCAGCUAAUUGAGCCAUGGGAACUGGUACAGCAGGGGGUAUCUGUGUGCUGCCUAGGAACUUAGGUCCUUAGAUAGUUCCUGAGGAACCACUUGGGCCUGUGCAAAGCUCAACCAGGAGAGAACUAGUGGGCAAUUGCACAAGCUUCCAUACUCACCAGUAGCUGAUCACAAUGCACAGCAACCAACGGUACAAGACCAAUGAGGUGACAGAAAACAUUCCUCGCCUGUUACUUCACUCAUACCCACCAGCCACCUGCUUGUUGUAGAGAUAACAAGCAGGGUAAAAGGCAAAGGCCCAGGAAGACAGCUAGGAUCAGUUGGCAAUAGCCUGGAAUGUCCUGUUGGGCUAAUGGCUGGGUUGGGGUACAGUUCCAUCUUGCAGUGGUGAAACUCACGGUUCUUCACAGUACAUAGAUAUCGGGAACACAGCAGAAAGUAUGAAGCCUGGCUAGUUCUUGGUAAGAAUGUGUCAAGCUUUCUUGUGGCAGAGAACCACUUAAAAAAAAAAAUGAAAAAAAGAUCAUGUCACAGACAGGGACCAAGCCAUGCAAAGAACGAAGUACAGACUACAGCACGUGACUUGGCAUAGAAGCAGUUUGAAGGCCAUGCACUUGGAACACCAUUAUAUAUAUAUAUGCAGAACAUCGUGAUGGCCCAGAGAAAGAAGAGCAAAGACUUGAAAGCCACAAUCUUGAAACUACUGGAGACUUAGAAGAACCAAUGAACACAAUCCAACAGGAAGAGAAAGCAGACAGAAGGCUGCAUGCUGCUGGCCAAGCUGAGGAGGUGGUAAGGACUCCUCUGCAAGAGCUUCUCACGAGGGCAGAGCUUAGCCAGACUGGAACCUGAAGGACCUGGGACUCUCCACUGGCUGCCUUGGUGGGACUCGAACUCCACGGCGUGGCCCAUCGCCCAUCAGAUAGUAUUGUAGGGGAUUGGACCACAGCUCCCCUUUGAUAAUUUCAGCUAUUCUGUCGAAUUCUAGGAGGCUGUGGUCUGAGAACCAGUUGAAGAAACUGGGAAUCGUGUUCCCCUCCCUAUUCCUGUGGAUGUGGGCCUGGGGUUCCUGACCCCGGUGCCAGCGGAUUGGCGUAGAGAGUGACACCACUCGACCUGAGGAUCUGCGCUCAUAUUCUUUGACCAGCCCCUCAUUUCGAAAGUAGGGGUUGCUUUGAAAGAUGAACUUAAAUUUGCACCCUACUCUUGGCUGCUUAAGCUCCUCCACCUCUAAAUUGAUCAUGUACCUCAUCAUGUCUUCAUCUUGGCCACUAAUCAUUGGUGACAGCUGGGGGUGGUUCCGAAAAGCGGUGACCCAGAAACCUGGGAUGUUUUGGAUGAUGAAACUUCUGCGCUGCAUGUGGAGCCUUCUCAUCCGCCCAAAUUUGCGUUCCAGCUGGAGGAAGGCCCUGUCAGCCUGCGCAUUUACAUUUGACAGCUCUUGAUCGAUGGCCUCCAGCGAGUCCAUGCAAUUGAUCUUCGGAGCUCUGGGUCGAGUCUCCUCUUUCCCUCCUCCAGCUACCUUUUUUUCCUUCUGUAACCCCUUCUUUUCCUGCAUUGCCGCUCCUGCUUCUCCCUCCUUGCCGGUGGCCACAGAGAUGGCGCACUUGGUAGUCGUCAUUUCCUUGGUCUUCUUCGGCCCCGGCAUCUGCUGAGACCCCAGGCCCACCGCACCACAGGCUUCCAGGGCUUUCGGUUUAGCAGGGCUGUGAGGCCCUUCAAGCUGACAGCCAUUUUUACUGCUGUCGUCGGCUGCCACAGGGGCUGAGGGUGCGUCCCCGCCCUUUGAUGGAGACGGAGCAUCCUCCAGACCUCUCGCUGCCGCAGCACAACUAUUCUCAGCCACUCGGAAGCAGAGCUCGGGGCCGCAGUGCUCGGAAUCCGGAGACGCGCCUCCAUCCGCACCGGCCUCACCUGCAGCCUCCAUCUCCCGCACUGUGUCGGUUUCCUCUUGGAGCCCCUGGUCCUGCUUCAGAUCCAGAUCUUCGGAGGCAUGGGAGGGGGUCGUGGUGUUAGCGAGAGAUAGCUCGUUGUUCCCUUCCACGCCGUUCAUUUUGGCAGCUGACAGCCCUGCAGAGCUUUCCUUGUCCUCUGCAGACGCAGCGCAAAACCGCAGUGAGUGCUUAGCUCCACCCCUUUUCCUUCUGGGCUGGUGCUACCAUGGCAACCUGUGACGUCAGGAUACCAGCUGCAACUAACCGUAGCGCGAGAACUGGCAAUCCAGGUGAGAAGGGACCAGUUCCGGCCGCAUUUUCAAAUGCAAAGAUUAACCUGACUGGAAGCCAAAAGGCCUGGGAAUCUCCACUGGCUCCCUUAUUGGGCGACGUCGGGGUCUACGGAUUCCUUCACGACACAGGUAGUAUUGCAGUGGGUUUGGCCACAGAUCCUCUUUGAUAAUCUCAGCGAUUCUGUCAGAUUCUGGAAGGCUGUGGUCCGAGAACCAGGUGAAGAAGCUGCAAAUGAGAUCUUGGUUUCUGCGAAUGAAGGACUGGGGCUCAUGCCCUCUCCGCCAAAUGAUUGGAGUGGAAAGAGACACCACUCGACCAGAUGAUCUCACUUCAUAUUCCUUGACAAUCAGCUUGUUUCUGAAGUAGGGGUUUCUUCGAAAAAAGAACUUGAAUUUGCAGCCAGUCUUAGGGUGUCUCAGUUCCUUCACCUCCAGACUGGUUACGUACCUUAACAUCUCUGCAUCCCGACCCCUAAUCAUGGCGGACAACUGAGGGUGGUUCCGGAAGGCAGUCAUCCAGAAGCCUGGGAUAUUCUGAAUGAUGUAGUUCCUCCGUUCCAGGUAGUGUCGUCGCAUUCGCCCAAACUUCUGCUCCAGAUGUUGGAAGGCCCUGUCGGCCUGAGCAUUCACAGUGUCCAGUUCCAGCUGGAUGGCCUCCAGCGGGUUCCUGCGAAGAUCUAUGCCCAGGUGCCAGGGCCCUGCCUCCUCCGGCGCCUCCCUCACUCCUCCACUCGCCUCCAGCAUCUCCAUUUCUUCGCCCGCGGGCUUCUGCUCCACCUCCAUCACCUCCUCGCUCCCUGGCGUGGCCACUUCUGACUUUUCCGCUGCAGCCGCGACGGUGCCCGGUUCCGUCUUCACGUCACGGGCCUGGGACUCCGCUCCCCGAGUUUCUUGGGCCUUCUCCACAUAUUUCGGUGUCACGAACACCGCUGCCGCGGGGCCCCGAACGGAAGGAGGUGACUCUCCCUGCCUAGCUGCGGCCACCCGAAUCUGGGGGACAAGGCCCUCGACAUCUCGGGGCGCGGGGCUCCCCACGAUCCCUGCGCGGCCCUCACCUGUCACCGCCUUCUCCUCGCCGAGCAGCGGUCGCCGGUCUGGGGUCCCCGAGACAGUGUCAGCAUCGCAGUGGCCGCGGCUGUCGGGGACAGGGGUCCCCUCGUCCCGCUCCGGGCUGCUCAUGUCGGGUCUAGUCGCGCAGACCUCCGCCUACAAACAACAACCCUCACGGUCCCCCGCAACCCCAGCUCCGC